rnacentral:misc_RNA from 1 species
AUAAUUUAAUUGUAUGCUCAGUAUGAAUUCUUUUACUUUAAAACAAGUUUCUUGUUUAUCAUCAAGAGGCUUUUUCUGCAACUAAAACAUUGGUAUGAAGUUUUAUUGUGCAUAUAUAGACUGUCAUAAAAAUUAUGGGAAUUGAUAAGACUUUAAUCAGUUAGAUGCCCUUACUUUUGUUGUUUGCCCUCUGAUAUUGCCUUAGUAGCUCAUGCAAUUUUAUAUUGAACACUAGUAUCAG